rnacentral:rRNA from 1 species
UACGGAGGGUGCGAGCGUUAAUCGGAAUUACUGGGCGUAAAGCGCACGUAGGCGGUCAUGUAAGUGGGAUGUGAAACCCCCGGGCUUAACCUGGGACUUGCAUACCAGACUGCAUGGCUAGAGUAUGAGAGAGGGUGGUGGAAUUUCCGGUGUAGCGGUGAAAUGCGUAGAGAUCGGAAGGAACAUCAGUGGCGAAGGCGGCCACCUGGCUUAAUACUGACGCUGAGGUGCGAAAGCGUGGGGAUCAAACAGGAUUAGAAACCCUAGUAGU